rnacentral:lncRNA from 1 species
UUUUUUUUUUUUUUCCCUUUCAUAUCGCGUGCCUAGUUGUCUCUCCAAUUUAACAAGGCGUUUUUAAUGUCUUUCCAAAAAAAAAAAGAGAAUUGUUAUUACUAUUUUUGUUUUUAAAUAUAAUAAAGCAAGUGGAUUUGGAAAAGGUAACAGCAAAUGAAUUAUUAAUUGCAGAAAAGGGAAAAAGAUAUGGUUGAAUUUGAAUGUUGGCAGGCUUCAGAUUCCCGUGGACCUUUUUAUUUUGCAUAAUAAUUAGCUUAACUUUAAUCUGUUUGUCUUGUUUUCUUUUCUCUUUUUUUUUUCUGCCUCCAAUUUUUUCCAGCAAAAAUCCUGAUCUGUACGGUGCACUUGCCAAAGGGCAAAGUCCUAAGGUUCGUUCUGUUCUUAUCAUAAUUGGGCAGCUUUGUUUUUUUCUUCUCGUACAUAAUUUACUGAUAAUUUCAGACAAGAUUCGUAUUCUUUCACGUGGUAAAUACCUGAGAUUCGUUGUUUGUUUUUACUAUCGAAAAUUGGUCUUUUUUGGGGUCGUAGAAAUUGGUCCAUUUUUCAAGUUUUUAAGUUUGAACGAAGAUACUUUGAAAAAAAUGCAAGUUUGAACGAAGAAUAUGCUUAAUAACUCAACCAAAUAAACGCUUCUGUGUUAUAAUUGCGUGCAUUGCUUUGACGAAAUGGGACGCGUAUGGCUAUUAUUUGCACCACUUUUUGAAUGGUGGGGACUAGCAGAAGAAUGAGUGAUUUUGGAUCAGAAUGAAUGGUGGGGAGUAAUUAUUUUGAUUGUAAUGGUACAAAUAUAUUUAAAAAAUUCCUAACAAAGUCAUUUGUUUGUUUAUUGAAAAAAAUUGUAUAGUUCUUGGUAUUUGCAUGCUCCGACUCUCGGGUGUGCCCCUCCCACAUCCUGAAUUUCCAACCAGGGGAGGCUUUUAUCGUCCGUAACAUUGCCAGC